CCAGUACUUGUUGUCGACUCCAGUGGUCGAAUUUUAGGCUUUUUUUGUGGUGUAAUGAUAAUUUGAGAGGCACUAUCAAAGGGAGGCAUGUGAAGAGGCUUUUAACUUUUAUUAACUACGGUUGUAAGCUGUGAAAAGCACAAAUUUGAAAACAAUGAAUAAACAAUGGAGAAAUGUGCUUCAAUUAUGGUUUAUAAAUGUAUCAGUCAAGUGAUUCAGUAUUAAAGUGACCACCACCACCACCACCACCCACCCACCCACCCACCACCAUGUAGUGGGUGUAUAGGGUUCGGUCCAGCAGUCUGCCCUGGUGCACUGUGAAGUGAAGACCUGCGUGUGCUGCUACUCUCAUCCUGCCGGUGUGGUGACUGUGACCUGCCCUGACCUGCUUGUGACCUGCCCUGACCUGCCUGUGACCUGCUAUUAACCUGCUUUUGACCUGCCUUGACUUCCUCUGACACACAUGGUGAGCCGAGACCUUCCGAGACCUUCCAAGACCUUCCGAGACCUUCCGAGACCUUCCAAGACCUUCCAAAAUCUGCCGUGACCCACAGAUGAAGAUAUAUAGAUUUAAGAAGUGCGAUGAUGCGACACACAGACAGACAGACAGACAGACAGGUGUGGGAUGAGUGCUGGCAUACUGAAGGUCAAGAGGUCAAGAGGUCAAGAGUCACAUGUUGAGUCGUAUGGGUCACCAGACAGGUCACCCACCUAACCCCACUCAGCCUGUCAGUUCAGCGGCAACACUCAUGGAAGAUUUGCCGCAAGCUGUGCCUCUCUGUGCUUGUUAUCCGAACCUUGUGUCUAAUAUUGCCUUAAUGUUGUGUGUGUGUGUGUGUGUGUGAGAGAGAGAGAGAGAGAGAGAGAGAGAGAGAGAGAGAGAGAGAGAGAGAGAGAGAGAGAGAGAGAGAUUUUGUUACUCGUCAUGUCCCCUGUACCACUAGAAGACCUCCACCAGACCCCCUCUUAGUCACCCUUGUUGUGUCCCCUGUACCACUUGAAGACCUCCACCUGACCCCCUCUUAGUCACCCUUGUUGUGUCCCCUGUACCACUUGAAGACCUCCACCUGACCCCCUCUUAGUCACCCUUCUGAGGUACAAUAGUGUCUAGUCAUCCUUCCUAUGUCAUCCUUGUGUAAUCAGGAAUAAUUAUCAGCAUUUGUUCUCCUCCUCCUCCUGUCUGUCUGUCUGUCUGUCUGUCUGUCUGUCUGUCUGUCUGCCUACCAGUUAAAAUGAUCAAUUUAGUCAGUUAUACUUGUGAAUACUGUGUGUGUGUGUGUGUGUGUGUGUGUGUGUGUGUGUAUGAAUUAAUGUUAAUUGUGAAGUAUCUGCCUGCCUGCUUGCAAAUUAAUUAUCAAUAUAGUUACUGUAUGUGUGUUUGUGUGUUAUAAAGCAAUCUUGUGUAUAUUAUUGGUUGUAUUCCACAUGUAUGGGCUGGCCAGACGUGAUGUACUGUGACAGCCAGAACCUUGACAUAUACUGCUUGAUAAAAUGAAAAUAAGCAAAAAUACAUGAAUAAAGUACAAAUUUUGAGCCGAAUUAAUGAGGACUUUCUCUCGUCUUUUUCAGAGGUGCGUACAUCUGCGGGUCACUCCAACCAACCUCUUAUAUCCUACCUUAUUCUGAUAUAUUAGGUUAGAUUCAGUUAGGUUACUUAUAUUGGGGGCCUGUCUUCCUUACUAACCUAACCUAACCUAACCCAUUCCUUCCUUCUCGUCAAGCUGUUGGUGGGAGAAGCCCCAGGACUCUCAAGCGUGGGUUGAGUCACAACUGCGGGUGUGCUAGCCCACCUUGAAGUCAGACGGGGCUCACGUGUUGCAGUGUUGCAGUGUUGCAGAUCUUCACCCAAACAAGGGGAGUAUUGUUUUUUUGUGUUAUUUUGUAUAUAUAUAUUUUUUUUUUGGGGGGGAGGGGGUCUGGGGAUAGCUAUCUGCGGUGUGCGUCUGUGUGUGCGUCUGUGUGUGCAUCUGUGUGUGCGUCUGUGUGUGCGUCUGUGCACGUGCGUCUGUGUGCGUGCAUCUGUGUGUAUGUCUUUUUUUUGGUUGUGUGUGUGUGAAUUUUUUUUUGGUAUAAAUAUAUGGGUGGUAGGCUAUAAUGUUAGGAUAUUUGACACAGAUUAAUAUAGAAGAUGGUUUAAGUUAGUUAUUAAUAUAGAAGAUGGUUUAGGUUAGUUAAGGGUUAAGUGAGGCAUAGAGAGAGAGAGAGAGAGAGGGGAAGAGGAAUAUUAAUAGGAUUAGCUUAUAUUUUUUAGGGUUUUAAGUAAGUAUCUAGGUGGCAGGUCAGAAUGAUAUAAUAUUUAACACAGAUUAAUAUAGAAGAUGGUUUUAAGUUAGUAUAUAUCAAAGGGUUAAGUGAGGCAUAGAGAGAGAGAGAGAAAGGGUUAAUAGGAUUAGAAUGACAGGAGUAUAUAUCAAAGGGUUAAGUGAGGCAUAGAGAGAGAGAGAAAGGGUUAUUAAUAGGAUGACAGGAGUAUAUAUGAAAGGGUUAAGUGAGGCAUAGAGAGAGAGAGAAAGGGUUAUUAAUAGGAUGACAGGAGUAUAUAUGAAAGGGUUAAGUGAGGCAUAGAGAGAGAGAAAGGGUUAUUUAUAGGAUGACAGGAGUAUAUAUCAAAGGGUUAAGUGAGGCAUAGAGAGAGAGAGAGAUAGGGUUAUUAAUAGGAUGACAGGAGUAUAUAUGAAAGGGUUAAGUGAGGCAUAGAGAGAGAGAGAGAAAGGGUUAUUUAUAGGAUGACAGGAGUAUAUAUGAAAGGGUUAAGUGAGGCAUAGAGAGAGAGAGAGAUAGGGUUAUUAAUAGGAUGACAGGAGUAUAUAUGAAAGGGUUAAGUGAGGCAUAGAGAGAGAGAGAGAAAGGGUUAAUAAUAGGAUGACAGGAGUAUAUAUGAAAGGGUUAAGUGAGGCAUAGAAAGGGUUAUUAAUAGGAUUAGGUUGACAGGGUGUAUGAAUGUUUAACUCAGAUUAUAUUGAAUGUUUAUUUCUUUAUAAUCUGGGUUUGUAUGGCAUGUUGAAUAUUAGUAUGUUAUUUUUGUAGUGGUGGUAGUGGUGGUAAUGGUGGUGGGACGUAUGAAUGAUAUU